UACAGAGGGGGCAAGCGUUAUUCGGAAUUAUUGGGCGUAAAGGGCGCGUAGGCGGCCUGGCAAGUGGAAGGUGAAAUCCCUCGGCUUAACCGAGGAACUGCCCUCCAAACUGCUUGGCUUGAGUCCGGGAGAGGUGAGUGGAAUUCCCAGUGUAGCGGUGAAAUGCGUAGAUAUCGGGAGGAACACCUGUGGCGAAAGCGGCUCACUGGACCACAACUGACGCUGAGGCGCGAAAGCUAGGGGAGCAAACAGG
rnacentral:rRNA from 1 species